GACUGUAGCUCCUUAAGCUAAAGCAAGCAACUAUUCUCUUCCUCUUUAUGCUCUCUUCUACUAUGAUGAAGGGAACUUUGAAGUCAAACGAAUCUGGAAGAGUGCAUUUUAUAACUUACAGCUUCUCUCUAAAGUUUUAUGAUGGGUAAAGAGAAGACUCACAUCAGCAUUGUGGUCAUCUUUGACAAAUCUACCACCACUGCUCAUUUGAUCUACAAAUUUAGUGGCAUUGACAAGCAUGUGAUUGAGAGAUUUGAGAAAGAAAACAAAACAUCCUUCAAACAUGCAUCCUAAUAAGCUUAAGGCAGAGCGUGAACAUGGUGUUACUCUAUUUUGCAUAAAAUGUUUGACUUUGAAACAAACGUAACCUUAUUCAACUCACGCUUCCAACCAUCCAAAGUCAAAUUCUGUAAUUGAAGAGAAAAAAAAAUAUCAAAUUAAAGAAUACCUUCCUA